CAAGUCGAGCGGAAAGGCCCUUCGGGGUACUCGAGCGGCGAACGGGUGAGUAACACGUGAGCAACCUGCCCUAGGCUUUGGGAUAACCCUCGGAAACGGGGGCUAAUACCGAAUAUGACGCCUUGCCGCAUGGUGGGGUGUGGAAAGUUUUUCGGCCUGGGAUGGGCUCGCGGCCUAUCAGCUUGUUGGUGGGGUAAUGGCCUACCAAGGCGACGACGGGUAGCCGGCCUGAGAGGGCGACCGGCCACACUGGGACUGAGACACGGCCCAGACUCCUACGGGAGGCAGCAGUGGGGAAUAUUGCACAAUGGGCGGAAGCCUGAUGCAGCGACGCCGCGUGAGGGAUGACGGCCUUCGGGUUGUAAACCUCUUUCAGCAGGGACGAAGCGUAAGUGACGGUACCUGCAGAAGAAGCGCCGGCCAACUACGUGCCAGCAGCCGCGGUAAGACGUAGGGCGCGAGCGUUGUCCGGAUUUAUUGGGCGUAAAGAGCUCGUAGGCGGCUUGUCGCGUCGACUGUGAAAACCCGCAGCUCAACUGCGGGCCUGCAGUCGAUACGGGCAGGCUAGAGUUCGGUAGGGGAGACUGGAAUUCCUGGUGUAGCGGUGAAAUGCGCAGAUAUCAGGAGGAACACCGAUGGCGAAGGCAGGUCUCUGGGCCGAUACUGACGCUGAGGAGC
rnacentral:rRNA from 1 species